GGGCGGCUCCGGCCAGCUCGGCGCGGCCGUGGGGAGCCCGUGGGCCACGGGAUGGCGGGGCUGCGUGUCUCGCGUGGGGAGGAGCGCGGGGCGGCUGCGAGACUGAGGAAGGGGUCAGGAGGAAAGUGGCCCCAUCUGUGAGCUGGCUGUGCUCAGCUGCCUGAACAAGGAGACCCUGAGAGAGAUCAGUCUGCAGCAUGUGUUUAUAUAUCAUCGCGAUAGAUGAUGUAUUUUCCUGAGCUUUAGCAGUAUGUAGCUUUCCACAGAAGGAAAGUGUUUUCCAGUUGCUCCCAAAAGAUGUGUGAAGAAGGCUGAACAACCCCUCUAUGACAAGAGUUGCAACUUCAAAAAACAAAGCAGAACAAAGAAGCCCAACAACCCAGAAAUCCCAACAACAAACACCUAAGAUGUAGACAUGAGGAUGUCAGCUUCAAUUCUCUGUGAAUUGGUAGAUCUUGUGGUUGCUGAGAGGAGCUGGAAAACAACUUGUGGUAAAAGUUCUGG
rnacentral:lncRNA from 7 species